rnacentral:rRNA from 1 species
AACGAACGCUGGCGGCAUGCCUAACACAUGCAAGUCGAACGAGACCUUCGGGUCUAGUGGCGCACGGGUGCGUAACGCGUGGGAACCUGCCCUUAGGUUCGGAAUAACUCUCCGAAAGGGGUGCUAAUACCGGAUAAUGUCUUCGGACCAAAGAUUUAUCGCCUUUGGAUGGGCCCGCGUUGGAUUAGCUUGUUGGUAUGGUAAAAGCCUACCAAGGCGACGAUCCAUAGCUGGUCUGAGAGGAUGGUCAGCCACACUGGGACUGGGACACGGCCCAGACUCCUACGGGAGGCAGCAGUGGGGAAUAUUGGAAUAUGGGCGGAAGGCUGAACCAGCAAUGCCGCGUGAGUGAUGAAGGCCGUAGAGAUGUAAAGCACUUUUACCCGGGAUGAUAAUGACAGUACCGAGAGAAUAAGCUCCGGCUAACUCCGUG